ACGGAAGGCAGCAGUGGGGAAUAUUGCACAAUGGGGGAAACCCUGACGCAGCGACGCCGCGUGAGUGAAGAAGUAUUUCGGUAUGUAAAGCUCUAUCAGCAGGGAAGAAAAUGACGGUACCUGACUAAGAAGCCCCGGCUAACUACGUGCCAGCAGCCGCGGUAAUACGUAGGGGGCAAGCGUUAUCCGGAUUUACUGGGUGUAAAGGGAGCGUAGACGGCAUGACAAGUCUGAAGUGAAAUCCCCGGGCUCAACCCGGGAACUGCUUUGGAAACUGCCAAGCUAGAGUGCAGGAGGGGCAAGCGGAAUUCCUAGUGUAGCGGUGAAAUGCGUAGAUAUUAGGAGGAACACCGGUGGCGAAGGCGGCUUGCUGGACUGUAACUGACGUUGAGGCUCGAAAGCGUGGGGAGCAAACAGGAUUAGAUACCCUGGUA
rnacentral:rRNA from 1 species